AGCAGCCGCGGUAAUUCCAGCUCCAAUAGCGUAUAUUAAAGUUGUUGCAGUUAAAAAGCUCGUAGUUGAAUUUCGGGGUCAGUAGGUUGGUCGUGCCACCGGUACGUACUGGUCUCACUGAUUCCUCCUUCCUGAAGAACCGUAAUGCCAUUAAUUUGGUGUUGCGGGGAAACAGGACUGUUACUUUGAAAAAAUUAGAGUGUUUAAAACAGGCUAACGCUUGAAUACAUUAGCAUGGAAUAAUGAAAUAGGACGAUCGAUCCUAUUUUGUUGGUUUCUAGGAUUGACGUAAUGAUUAAUAGGGAUAGUUGGGGGCAUUAGUAUUCAAUUGUCAGAGGUGAAAUUCUUGGAUUUAUUGAAGACUAACUACUGCGAAAGCAUUUGCCAAGGAUGUUUUCAUUAAUCAAGAACGAAAGUUAGGGGAUCGAAGACGAUCAGAUACCGUCGUAGUCUUAACCAUAAACUAUGCCGACUAGGGAUCGGAUGAUGUUAAUUUUAUAAUGACUCAUUCGGCGCCUUA
rnacentral:rRNA from 1 species